CUAGAUACCUGACUCAGCCAAAUUUGUAUAGUAAUGAGUGAGGCAAAUUUCUACGCGGCCGCCAUUUGCAAAGGUGGCAAAAGCACAAUGGCGGCAUAUAAAAACAUUAAGUCUGUGCUGAGAGAAAUCGACUUUGAGAGCGUUUUUAUGAUGCUGUUCUACUGAAGUUGCAUUAAAAAUGGAUUUACAUUUCCUUGGUUGUGGUGUGGAUGUUCAUCGAAGUCGACUAGAUUCCUUGAAAUAAAACAAGCUUCGUAGAUUGCUGGCGAACACCAAUUUUGUUUUUGUGGAGGAUAUCUUUAUUAUAUUGCUUACCAUAGGUCGAAAGUCGUAAAUUGAUGUAUUUUUCAAUGAUCUGUUUGAUAAGCUGUGAUGAAUGUAGAUCUUCAGUUAUUGCUUCGUGAUCAACAUCAUGCUCGUUGAGUUCAGGAAACAAGCUCUUUUCUGCAAGCUCUUGGUUAAUAAGAUGAACCAUUAUAGUCUUCAAGUUUCUCCUGCUGGAAAUUUUUUGUUUUUUUGAACGAGUUUCAUGAAUGAGGACUUGAAAAGCUCUUUCAGAUGCAAAUAUAAUUUUGGUCACACCAUUAGAAGGGAGAACAAGACCACCACGAUUCUUCAAACUGAUUAAAGAUAAAGAUGUAGUAGUUUGGAAGUGUGAAUAAUUAUGAUCAUGAACUGAUGAUGAUUUUUUUGACUUAAGCAAAAGAGCUCUUGCACAUUCAGUACAGGUGAUUCUAUUGAUUAUCUUUUUACAACAAACCCAGCAAUAUAUCCAAGUAUUGCUUCUUUGUAUGAUGACAGUGAACAUGAUUCUAAUCCAGAAACUAAACUACUGACAUAUUGUGUGUCCUUUGGUGUCAUCUCUUCUACUUCAAAGGCUGGAGCAUUUCUUUUAUUCCAUUUUAAUGAAAAAAUAGAACCAGCAGAUUCAUUUUCGAAAGUCAAACAGUUUGCAUGCUUGGAACCAAUGAUGGAAUUUCUUAAAAGAAUUUUUUGUAGACUGGACUUAAAUUGUACAAUAUCUGGAUUAUUGUUGAAGCCAUUCUUACCACGUAUGCAUGCAAACAGCAGCUCAAGGUGGUCUUGGGACAUUUUGUAUGUCAGAAUGUAUUUGAAAGGAUCAUGCUCCCUUGUAAGGAGAAUGUGAGCCAACUCUUUAAUGCUCGAUGCUGCUACUACAAAACCGAGAACAAAUGUUUUUCUUCUAUAUUUGAUCAGAGGAACACCAGAGUUUGUUUUAAGGGAAAAAAGAAAUGAAAACACAUC